AUGCCAUGAUGAAGGCAUUUCUGCAACAACUUCUUGAACCACUCCCAUGCCCCAUAUAAAGAUUCUUCAUCAAGUUGCUGAAAUGAAGUAAUCUCAUUGCGGAGCUU